rnacentral:snRNA from 1 species
GAACUGAUCUGGUUGCGCCAUCUGUCACCCCACUGACCGCCAGGGUGGAUUCGGCUGAUCCGCUGGCCAAGCGCUGUCCCUUUCUUCCCUCAUGGCUCCCUGUGCGAUUGAAGAGGACACCCACCCCCAGUGGAGGAGGACCGGUCUUCCGUCAAGGGCAUACGAGUACCUGCGCUCCCCUGCUAGAACCUCCGAACAAACUCAAGGGGGCCGUGAUUUACCUGAAGGGUUCCAAGGCCCACGUCCUCAUGCACCAACUGGGCGUCCUGA